CCUGCGGGCAGCAGGCGCGUCCUGGGGCUGGGCAACCGGGGUGCAGGUUCCGGAGCUGCCAGAGCUGUGAGGGGGACUCGGGAGAGAUCCAGGUUCCUCUGGCUGCGAAGUCCCUGGAGGCCGGGCCGGAGGGCUCCGCGCACGUAGCACUUUUUGGCCCGCCCGGCGCCCCCGUCGCCUCCACAAGGGCUGAAGAGGACGGGCGGGCUGGACCAGGCGGGGCUCCGAGACGCGUCCGAGACGGGGGCCUGGGCCCGGGAGAGGGGCGGGGGCUGGGCUCCCGGACCCGGGCGCGGGGCCUUUUAACCCCUGCAGACCCAGGACCGGCCGGGCCGCCCCAAGACGAACGCCGCAGGGCUGGGCUCAGCCCAAGCCAGACGGCGAGAGUCGCACCGAGGUGGAAGCUGGGGGCGCGGCCUCGCCGGGGCCAGGAAAGGGGC
rnacentral:lncRNA from 10 species